ensembl:lncRNA
CAGCAAUAUCCUAUGGAGAAAAAAUAGACCUGGGCAAGGGUGUAGAAAAUUAUAGGAAUGCUAUUUCAGAUAGGGUGAUUCAUAUCUCCAAGACCUAGCACAGUGCCUUGCGUGCAGCAGGCACUCAAUGUAUGCUGGGUGGGUGAAUUAAUAAUAAAAGAUAGAUAAGGGGAAAGAAAUAAAGCCUGGAAAAAGGAAGACUAUCCCAAAUCUUAAAAGAGAACACAAGGAAGAGGGUACAUUUCACAUACCAAGUGAGAUUAUGUUUCCAGAAUUCUCCAGCAUCACAUCAUCACAACCCUGUAGAGAGUCCUCUGGGAGGAGUCAAGCUGACUCCAUUCCUCCUCUUUAAGAAAGAAAGAGAGACAGGGAGAGUGAGAGAGAGAAGGAGAGAAAGAGAGAAAGAAAGGAAGAAAGGAAAAGAAAGAAAGGGAGGAAGGAAAGGAAGGGAGAGAGAGAGAGAGAAAGAGAGACAGAGAGAGAGAGAAAGAAAGAAGGAAAGAGAAAGGAAGGAAGGAAGAAAAAGAAAGAAAGAAAGAAAAAAUUAAGAGAUUGCUUCUGAGGAUGUGAUGUAGGGACAAAGCCAAGGGUGUGGCUGUACAAACCUUUGCUAAAAGCUCAGAAAGACCAAAAGUUCAGAGUAUUCAGUCCCACAAAAGCCCUUUCAAGAGACUAAAAGUGUGCCUCACAGAUUUUUCUUAACUACGCUGGAAGGCCUCUGGGAAGCUCAAGGUUGCUGUCCCUCGGUCAUCCCAGCAGGACCCCCACGAAGAAGGGAUUGCCUUGAACCAAUGUAUGGGUGGGGCUUUUGUGUAAAAGAGUGAAUGCCAGUGAAAUUCACACAAGCCCCACAGGGUUCCGGAGAAACUUCCAUCAGCAGGAACACGGCAAGCCUGGACUCAAAGGGAAAGAGAAGGUACAAAAUGGAAGAGGCUGUUGGACCUCUAAUAUUCUACUGGCAGAGAGCAGGCAGAUAAGGACUACUCCGCUGCAAACACCUGCGACCUUUCAUGAAAAAGAAAGGGUGGCUCAGAGGGCGGAACUAAGGGUCUGGAGGGCAGAACCCAGAGCUACCAAGGAUUAUUCCAGGCUUUAAAACUUCAUCAGAGAGUUCUGUCUGGUGUUUUCCCGGCUGGAUUUCCAAAGUGCUCUGGGACUCGAACUGCAUUCUGCCUUCCAUUUCGCUCCAUAUUAAACUAGAAUGUUUAUAGCUGUUAUCCUCUGCCCGUCCCACCACAGUGUGUUGGGGGAACACAGCUUGUCACUGUAGCGUCACUGGUACCCAGUGGGAGAAAGAUUGUGCCCCAGGAGUUGUACUACACGGAUUAUACCCAGGAACGUCAUCCAUACCUGAUUUAGAUGGUUGAGCUGAUGCGAUUCCGAUGAGCUUUUGGAAUUGAGCUGAUGCCAUAAUACCAUGAGACAUUUGGAGACUGUCGAAUGUGGUGAAUGAGUUUUGUGUGUGGGACAGAUUGGACCACCGGGAGCCACAGGGCAGACUAGUAGGCAGAAUUCUAAGAUGACCACUAAUGACCCUUGCCCUUGCAUAAUCCUCUCCCACUGAGUGUGAGAGGAGCCCGUAAAUUUGAUGCGACAUCACUCGUGUGAUUAUGUUACAUUAAAAGGGAAAGAGAUUUUGCAGAUGUAUUAAGGUCCCAUAUCAGUGGACCUUCAAAUAAGGAGGUUAUCUUGGGUGGGCCAGGCCUAAGAAGGUGAGCCCUUAAAACGGCCUAGGCCUCUUCUGAGAGACUCAAGCAUGAGAGGAUGUACAGCAUGGUCCAUGUGGUAAGGAACUAUGGGUGGCCUCUAGGAGCUCAGAGUGGGACUGAAUUCUGCCAAUAACUUCAGUGGGCUUGGAAGUGGAUUCUUCCUCAGUGCCUACACAAAGAAACACAGCCUGGCCAAACACAUGAUUUCACCUGGUGAAACACUGAGCAGAGAACAAAGUCAUGCCACUAUGAAAAUUAGUAAAGGGAAACCUCAUCUAAAGUGGAGUCAGGAAGCCAAAAGUGGGAGCUCCCACACCGUACCACUUGAGGUCAAUUAGAGGAAAGAUGGUCAGUUACAGACCCCAACACAAAGAAGUUGUCAACAGGAAAGAAUCAUUAAUUACAGGAAGAAAUGUACAAUGCAUCCCAAACAGAAAAUGACUACCCCAGAAACUCAGCCUGUGAGAAACCAUCACCACCCUGAACUCUUGCUUUUCUCCAAUGGACUUUGGUUUAAAAUAACCGCACCCAAGUUCCUCCUUUGUCUGUAUGAAAUAACAUUCCUCUGCCUUGUGUGUUGGAUUUCCC